AUCAACGCUGGCGGCGUGCCUCAGACAUGCAAGUCGAACGAUUAAAGCUCUCUUCGGAGAGUGUAUAGAGUGGCGCACGGGUGAGUAACACGUAAGUAAUCUACCUUUGAGUGGGGAAUAACAACCGGAAACGAUUGCUAAUACCGCAUAAUGCAGCGGCAUCGCAAGAUGACAGUUGUUAAAGAUUUAUCGCUUGAAGCGGAGCUUGCGGCAGAUUAGCUAGUUGGUAAGGUAAUGGCUUACCAAGGCUACGAUCUGUAACCGGUCUAAGAGGACGGUCGGUCACACUGACACUGAAUAACGGGUCAGACCUCCUACGGGAGGCAGCAGUCGGGGAAUUUUGGGCAAUGGGCGAAAGCCUGACCCAGCAACGCCGCGUGAAGGAUGAAGUAUUUCGGUAUGUAAACUUCGAAAGAAAUGGGAAGAAUAAAUGACGGUACCAUUUAUAAGGCCGGCUAACUACGUGCCAGCAGCCGCGGGUAAUACGUAGGGACCAAGCGUUGUUCGGAUUUACUGGGCGUAAAGGGCGCGUAGGCGGCAUGACAAGUCACUUGUGAAAUCUCCGGGCCUUAACUCGGAACUGCCAAGUGAACUGUCACGCUAGAGUGCAGAAGGGGCAAUCGGAACUCCUCGGUGUAGCGGUGAAAUGGCGUAGAUAUCGAGAGGAACACCUGAGGUGAAGGACGGGUUGCGGGCUGACACUGACGCUGAGGCGCGAAAGCCAGGGGCGGCAAACGGAUUAGAUAACCCGGUAGUCCUGGCCUAAACGAUGAAUACUGGUUGUCUGGAGUAUUAGUAUCGGGUUGCCGUCGCUAACGUUUUUAGUAUUCCGCCUGGGGAGUACGCUCGCAAGAGUGAAACUCAAAGAAUUGUAAGGGGACCCGCACAAGCGCGGAGCAUGUGGUUAAUUCGACGCAACGCCGAAAGAACCUUACCUGGACUAGAAUGUGAGGGAAUGUUGGGUAAUACCAUCAGUCGGGAACCGGACCCAAAACAAGGUGCUGCAUGGCUGUCGUCAGCUCGUGUCGUGAGAUGUUGGGUAAGUCCCGCAACGAGCGCAACCCUAUCAACAGUUGCCAUCAUUAAGUUGGGAACUCUGUGUGAGACUGCCGUUGAUAAAACGGAGGACAGGUGGGGAUGAUGUCAAGUCAUCAUGGCCUUUAUGUUCAGGGCUAUUACACGUGCUACAAUGGCCGGUACAAAACGUCGGGCGAUCUCGCAAGAGGGAGCUAAUCGCAAAAACCGGUCUCAGUUCGGAUGUGAAGUCUGCAACUCGACUUCAUGAAGUUGGAAUCGCUAGUAAUCGCAGAUCGAACGCCGCGGUGAAUACGUUCCCGGGUCUUGUACACACCGCCCGUCACAUCACGGAAAGUAGGUUGUACUAGAAGUGGCGGGCCCAACCCGCAAGGGGGGCAGGUUACCACGGUAUGAUUAUGAUUGGGGUG
rnacentral:rRNA from 1 species